ACAAGCCAAUGAUUAUAUAGUUAUCCCUGUCUGACCCUCACUGUAGACCUUUGGUACAAUGAGGCUUGU